rnacentral:misc_RNA from 1 species
CAAGAGUAUUUCAGUUGGCUUUAUGCCCUCUGAAAAUCUCCACCCUUUGUUUACUAUUACCUUUGUUGUUGCCGCUAGUCGGUGGGUGCACUUUAUAGGCACCUGGCCGGCAGACACCGUUCAAAUACGCCUUGAUUGUAAUACUAUAGUCAGAGCUGUAACAAGCAAAGAGAUUAAAUAAUUAAUCAG